CCAAGAGAAAAAGACAAAGAGAGAAUAUUAAAAGCAGCAAGAGCAAAGCAGUCAGUUUCCUACAAGAGAGUACCCAUACUACUGUCAGCAGAUUUCUCAACAGAAACUAUGCAGGCCAGAAGGGAGUGGCAAGAAAUAUUCAAAGUGAUUAACGGCAAGAACCUACAACCAAGAUUACUCUACCCAGCAAAGCUAUCAUUUAGAAUU